rnacentral:rRNA from 1 species
AAUCAACGCGGGCGGCGUGCCUAACACAUGCAAGUCGCACGAGAAAGGGACUUCGGUCCUGAGUAAAGUGGCGCACGGGUGAGUAACACGUGACUAAUCUACCCUCGAGUGGGGAAUAACCUAGGGAAACCUGGGCUAAUACCGCAUAACACUUACGAGUCAAAGCAGCAAUGCGCUUGGGGAGGAGGUCGCGGCAGAUUAGCUAGUUGGUGGGGUAAUGGCCCACCAAGGCGAUGAUCUGUAUCCGGCCUGAGAGGGCGCACGGACACACUGGAACUGAAACACGGUCCAGACUCCUACGGGAGGCAGCAGUGGGGAAUUUUGCGCAAUGGGGGAAACCCUGACGCAGCAACGCCGCGUGGAGGAUGAAGUCUCUUGGGACGUAAACUCCUUUCGACAGGGACGAUAAUGACGGUACCUGUAGAAGAAGCCCCGGCUAACUUCGUGCCAGCAGCCGCGGUAAUACGAGGGGGGCAAGCGUUGUUCGGAAUUAUUGGGCGUAAAGGGCGCGUAGGCGGUUUGGCAAGUUUGGUGUGAAAUCUUCGGGCUCAACUCGAAGUCUGCAUCGAAAACUGCCG